GACGAACGCUGGCGGCGUGCUUAACACAUGCAAGUCGAACGAUGAACCCGGAGCUUGCUCCGGUGGAUUAGUGGCGAACGGGUGAGUAACACGUGAGUAACCUGCCCUUGACUCUGGGAUAACUGCGGGAAACUGUAGCUAAUACCGGAUACGACCCUCGGCGGCAUCGCCAGGGGGUGGAAAGAAUUUCGGUCAAGGAUGGACUCGCGGCCUAUCAGCUAGUUGGUGAGGUAACGGCUCACCAAGGCGACGACGGGUAGCCGGCCUGAGAGGGUGACCGGCCACACUGGGACUGAGACACGGCCCAGACUCCUACGGGAGGCAGCAGUGGGGAUUAUUGCACAAUGGGCGCAAGCCUGAUGCAGCAACGCCGCGUGAGGGAUGACGGCCUUCGGGUUGUAAACCUCUUUUAGUAGGGAAGGAGCGAAAGUGACGGUACCUGCAGAAAAAGCACCGGCUAACUACGUGCCAGCCGCCGCGGUAA
rnacentral:rRNA from 1 species